UCCACGUCAGAAUUCCAAACCACCAGGCAACCUCGUGACAGAACGUAAAGAAGAGCGAGCACACACAGGAAUCUCAGCUCUGCCCACCAGUGUGGCACCAGGCAAUUCGCUUGCACCCUGCUAUGUUUUAGGCUGUGCGUCUCCAACAUGGCCACAUUGAUUUCCUGCCUCACUUACCCAUAUGGUCUUGUUGUGAGGACACAGAUGAAAACGAUCUGAUUCACUGUCAGAAGAUUCUCCUGACUGGACAUGAGCCGGGUAUAGUGCUUCAAGUGAAUAAUUCCAGCGCUCAGGAUGCUAAGGCAGGAGCUUGGGCUACAUAGUGAGUUCAAGGUGCUGUGUGCAGAAGAGGAUAUCUGUUACCUUGGAGCUGGAGGUAGAGUUGUAAGUCACCAUGUGAAUGCAGGCAAUGGAAUCCGGUUCCUCUGGAAGAACAGCAAGUGGCCUUAGCCACCAGGCCAUCUCUCCAACCUCUUGAAUUCUAGUAACAUUUAACACAAGUUUUUACACAGCCCAGGCGGCUGCCUUUGAACUCUCUGUGCAGCUGAAGAUGGUCUUCAGGUUCUGAUCCUCGGGAUUCCUCCUCUUGAAUGCUACAGGCACAAAGAAGGCACCAUACCCAUUGUUUGGCCUUUGUGCUUAUAAAUAUUCAUAUAGGUUGAAGAUGUAGUUGUGGUAGAAUGCUUGCCUAACAUGCUUGGAGCCCUAGGUUCCACCCACAGA